rnacentral:tRNA from 2 species
AGGUCUGUAGCUCAAUGGGUAGAGUAAUCGCCUCCAAAGCGAGAGGUUGUAGGUUCGAGUCCUACCAGGCCUG